GAGGGUGACAGGUGGUGCAUGGUUGUCGUCAGCUCGUGUCGUGAGAUGUUGGGUUAAGUCCCGCAACAAGCGCAACCCUCGACCUUAGUUGCCAGCAUUCAGUUGGGCACUCUAAGGUGGACUGCCGGCUAAAAGUCAGAGGAAGGUGGGGAUGACGUCAAAUCAUCAUGCCCCUUAUGACCUGGGCUACACACGUGCUACAAUGGGCGGUACAAAGGGUCGCGAACCCGCGAGGGGGAGCCAAUCCCAAAAAGCCGCUCUCAGUUCGGAUUGCAGGCUGCAACUCGCCUGCAUGAAGCCGGAAUCGCUAGUAAUCGCGGAUCAGCAUGCCGCGGUGAAUACGUUCCCGGGCCUU
rnacentral:rRNA from 1 species